rnacentral:rRNA from 1 species
CACGUAGGGCGCAAGCGUUGUCCGGAAUUAUUGGGCGUAAAGAGCUCGUAGGCGGUCUGUUGCGUCCGCUGUGAAAACUCGGGGCUUAACCCCGAGCCUGCAGUGGAUACGGGCAGACUAGAGUGCGGGAGAGGAGAGUGGAAUUCCCGGUGUAGCGGUGAAAUGCGCAGAUAUCGGGAAGAACACCCGUGGCGAAGGCGGCUCUCUGGAACGCAACUGACGCUGAGACGCGAAAGCGUGGGGAGCAAACAGG